AUUCUCUCACGAGUGUUAGACAACAAAAGCCCUAUAGAGAUACUUAAGAGUUUCUAUCCACACUUUAGAACCUCAAAUGGGCUCACUCCUAGGGUAUUUGGGUGCACUGCAUUUGUUCAUGUCCACAACCAACAUAAAGACAAACUAGACCCUUGAGCCACAAAAUGUUUCUUCCUUGGUUACUCAUCCACUCAAAAAGGAUACAAGUGUUACAAUCCCUCAGCCAGAAAAUUUUACAUCUCUGCAGAUGUCAUCUUCACAGAAAAUAAAUUUUUUUCCCUAAGUCCUCUCUUCAGGGGGAGAUUUCAAUGAUGGAAGAUAGUCCUUGUGAGUCCUUUGAACCCCUUGACCUUCCUCAUGUCUCAACCCAUGGUGAUGAAGAACCUAAGUCAUCCGAGCCAAUCACACUUGAGUCACCCAAUUUUACUAUUGAACCCAUGUCAUCCCCUGUUCUAGCCAGUGUCACUCGCAAUUUUCCACAGUUUUCUAAGGUGUAUUCAAGGGAAAAGGCCAUUUCAGAACAAAAGCAAGUCCAAGAAUCCAACUCAGACCCUGGGAAUGAAAUCACGGUAAGAUCAUACCCACCUUUAUAUACACAAUCUGGUGAAACUUCCACUGACUCAACAGACAACCUAGACCUAGACCUAGACCUUCCCAUUACUGUCAGAAAAGGCACCAGAGAAUGCACUAACCGACCACUCUAUCCACUAUCACACUAUGUGUCUCUUAAGCACCUAUCACCAACCCAUAAGAAUUUCAUUGUGAGUCUAAACACCACCAUCAUCCCUAACACUGUUUUUGAGGCAUUGACAAAAAGGGAAUGGAAGGAUGCUAUGAGAGAGGAGAUUAGUGCAUCAGAAAAGAAUAAAACAUGGGAGAUUGUUGAAAGACUGAAAGGGAAAAACAUUGUUGAUUGCAAGUGGAUUUUUACACUGAAAUAUAAGGCUAAUGGAUCUCUUGAGAGACAUAAAGCAAGAUUGGUAGUUAAAGGGUACACUCAAACUUAUAGAGUUGAUUAUCAAGAGACUUUUGCUCCAGUUGCAAAAAUGAAUACUGUAAGAAUCCUGCUGUCAUUGGUUGCCCGCUACAAUUGGCAACUUUUACAGUAUGAAGUUAAGAAUGCAUUUCUUCAUGGUGAUUUAGAUGAAGAGAUUUACAUGAACAUCCCACCGGGAUUUGAGGGAAACACAGGUAAUAAGGUGUGCAAGCUGAAAAAUGCUCUUUAUGGGCUAAAACAAUCUCCUAGGGCUUGAUUUGGGAGAUUUGCAAAAGUCAUGAAAGAGUCUGGGUACAAACAAAGCCAAGGUGACUACACUCUCUUCGUUAAGCACUUGGCUGCAAGGGGAGUAAUUGCUCUUCUAGUCUAUGUUGACGACAUCAUAGUGACUGGAAGUGAUGAGAGAGAAAAUCAUGAAGUGAAGCAGAGAUUAGCAACAGAGUUUGAGAUAAAGGAACUAGGGAAACUGAAGUACUUCCUCGGUAUUGAGGUGGCAUAUUCCUCACAAAGGAUCUUCAUCUCUCAACAAAAGUAUGUGACUGAUUUAUUGGCAGAAACAGGGAAGAUUGGGUGUAAACCAGUCUCUACCCCAAUGGAUCCAAAAUACAAGUUGGGAGAAGCUAAAGAAGAACCAGUGGUGGAUAAAAGAAUGUACCAAAGGCUGGUUGGUAGACUCAUAUACCUUGCUCACACUUGGCUAGACAUCGCCUACUCAAUGAGCGUGAUCAGUCAAUUCAUGCAUGAUCCAAGAGAACCUCAUCUUCAAGCUGCUUACAGGGUGCUACAUUACUUGAAAGGCAACCCCGGGAAAGGAAUUUUGUUCAAGAAGAACAAUACUCUUGCUCUAGAAGCAUACACCGACGCUGACUAUGCAGGUUCCCUAGUGGAUCGAAGAUCAACUACAGGGUAUUGUACUUUUCUUGGAGGUAAUCUGGUAACAUGAAGAAGGAAAAAGCAGAAUGUGGUAGCAAAGUUGUCUGCAGAAUCAGAGUUUAGGGUCAUUGCUCAAGAGUUGUGUGAACUACUUUGGCUGAAGAUUAUUCUAGAUGAUUUGAGAAUCAAGUAGGAUGGUCCUAUGAAACUCUAUUGUGACAACAAGUUAGCUAUCAAUAUUUCUCAUAACCCUAUACAACACGAUAGGACAAAACAUAUUGAGAUUAAUAGGCAUUUUAUCAAAGAAAAAUUGGAGGAAGGAGUAGUGUGUAUGUCCCAUGUUCCAUUAGAACAUCAAUUAGCUGAUAUCCUAACAAAAGGACUGAACAGUUCAAUGUUUCACGAUCUUGUAUUCAAGCUGGGAAUGGAAGACAUCUAUUCCUCAGCUUGAGGGGGAGUGUCGAUCUGUAAAUAGGCUAUAAUUGAGCUGUAAAUAAUAGGAGAAUUAUUUUAAAAUCCCUUAAAUUGAGGGAUUCAGUUAGAUAGUUUUCUGAUUUAGGAAUAAGUUAGUUUCCUAUUAUGUCUCUUGUUUCCUAUUUCUCCUCUUGUAAUCUCCUAUAUAAACUGUGUGUAUAGUCAAUCUAAUAUACAGAAAUUACUAUUUUUCAUCCCAUAUUUCGUGUCAUUAGUAUAAUUAUUUUGUCCAUAAUUUUCUUAAUAUUUGUUACACUAACAAUUCCUUUAUCAUCAAUCCUAAUCUUAAAAGGAGAUGCUCUUACUAAUGUUCCAUUAAUAUUUUGAUCUAUCUUAGCUUUUGGAGGAUUGAAUUUUAUGAUCCUAUUGUCACUAGUUUUCCAUUGUUUAUUAUUUUUUUAAUUAUUAUUGAUAUCUCUGAAUGGAUAACUAAGGAAUUCAUUUUCUUUAAAAGUUUCAAACCAUUUCUAGAACUUAACAUGGGUUUGGUUUUUUCUUAGAUAAUCAUAAAAUUCUUCUUGAUAUAUGGUCCUAGACACUUAGGACACAUAACUAAAAUCUGUAUUCCUUUUUCUUUGUUUUCUUCUAAGAAAAAAUAUUGUCUUAAUAAUUCCUUGUUAAUCACAAAUUCUUGAUCUAUCAUAUUAAUCAUCCAAGAAUAUGUGGGUGACAUAUCCAAUGAUUCUUGAGUAGACUCCCUAUCUUUGGAAUAGUAGGUUUUUGCUACAUUUGUGUGACUUUUAACUCUUGAUAACUUAAUAUUCUUAAGGUUUGAAGAUGUGGAUCCUUCAUCUUAGUGGUUCUAGUUGGAACAGAUGAGCAUGAUGCUUUAGAAAGUUCAUAUUCUAAAAUUCUAAGAGUUUUAGAAUGUCUAAAGGAAUUAGAGAAGAUCAAAUCUCCUCAUCCACAAGAUUAUUGAACUAUUUGUUCAAUUUUUUCUGUUCUUUGGUUUGUGGGUGGAACAACAUGGGAGAAAUGCCAUGAUUUAGGAAAUUCAACUUCAUUCCACAAGAUUUUCUUAGGAAUGAUAUAGUUAGAUUUACUCAUUAAAUUUGAUUGAAAGAGAAUUGUCUCUCCCCUAUGACUAGUGCAUAAAACUCUGGAUCUUACAUGGGUGGUCAUGCUCUUAUAAGAGAACUUGGUAAUUAUGGAAACUGAACUGUUUCCUUUCUUAAAUCUAAAUCUACGAGUCUUAACAUGAUGGAAAACUAAAUCUAAGAUGUAAGCAUCUCUUAAUCUUACCAUGAAAUUAGGAUAACACUGAAAAUAAACAGGUCCAUCAUUUAAUCUUGCUUGAAUUGCUCCGAUGGUAGAAUCUUUGUAAUCAAGAUGCUUAUUAUCUCUUAGACACAUAACAAUUGACGUAUUUAAGCUUAUUCUAACCAAUGCCUUAGCAACUACUUCACCAUUCCUAAAUGUGUAAAUCUUUCUUAUGUCUUUUUAUGGAUUUGCUAUCUAGAAGUCUUAUUACUUGAUCAUCUUAUUCCAAGCUUAUGGUUUUUUCAGUUGUCUUAACCAUGUAAUUUGAGAAAAACUUAAAAGAUCCUUUCUUCUUAAUUUCUUGGUUGGAAACCUUAGGUAAUUUCCAAUUUUCCAAGUUAUUUUGAAUCUUAGGAUAAUUUGCUUCUUCACUGUUUACUAUAGCUUCUUGGGGAUAAGUGGAUCUCCUAGACAUGGAUAUGAAGCUUGAAUUCAUUUUAGGUCUUAAUCUAAAGCCUAUUUAUGGGUUUACAAACCUAACUGAGUAAUCACUGGAAAUCCUGCCCUAAAACACCUCCUUCAAUGGCCAACACGGGCUCCUCUGGAUUGCCUCUAGGCAAACCAUUUCUCCUGAGAUAGAUGAAGCUAUAAAACAAACCUAAUAGCCAUACCCAUGGGUCUGAUACCAUAAAUACCUAGGACACUGUAGUAUAUGGUGAAAGAGUACAUACCCAAUAGUGCAUGUAUGCAUGCAUAUAUUGGUGAUAAAGCAAGUUUUUUAUUCCUGAAAAAGGGUUUUUUGUGGGUGGCUAUUGAUCAGUUCUAUUGUAAAAGUUGCAAGUAGCCUUUUAUAGACUGAUUCUUUUAUUGAUAUUUUAACCAUUUUUUAUAUUGACAUAAUUUGUUAAGUAUUUGAAUUGGUAACCUCCACGACCUUUCAUCAAUUGACCUUCAUUCCCCAGUAAUGCCCUUUUGCGAAGAAUGUUGACAGCAACCUUGUGUCACUAAUUCCCCCAGAGUCAAAAUGUGAAACACCACCAUAUGUAGGAGUCUGCUACUCAGCACAAUCUGGGUCUUGUUAAUAUCCCUCAUCAUUCUAGUCCUUGGAAGUGUUGUGAAUAUGUGUGCUGUUCUGCAAGUGGGAAUUUCUGCUUCUUUGUCAUGGGAAUUAUGUCAGACAUACUCUUUUCAAUGAUCUCCACCACCUGGGUUUGAGGCCCCUGCAUACCUAUUUGUGCCCUUACAUUUUUGGUGAGUAACUUCAUUUGUACCUGGACACUACUAGUGUUGCUCACAUCCAUUUCCCCCUUGUUGGUGUCUUUAUGAAAUUCUUUGAAAUGAGUUAAUUGUACAGAAUGUUUAAAUUUAUUGAAUGAUGAUUAUAUGUAGAAAUUAGCUUCUUUUGAAGGACUUGAUACUGUUGAAAGUGAUCUUUUGAGCGUAUACAAUGAAACAUAUAUACAUACACAUACCCAUAAAUCACUGGAUGAUGAUUAUAUGCGGAGAUUAUCUUA